rnacentral:lncRNA from 1 species
GUAGUAGUAGUGCCAAUAGCAGUAGUAGUACCGAUAGUAGUGGUGGUGGAGGUAGUGGCAGUACCAAUAGUAGUAGUACCAAUAGUAGAAGUAGUAGUACCACCAAUAGUAGUAGUACUGGUGGUGGUAGUAGUAGUAGUAGUACCAAUAGUAGUAGUAAUAGUAGUACCAAUAGUAGUGGUGGUGGUGGUAGUAGUACCAAUACCAGUAGUAGUAGUGGUAGUGCAGUAGUAGUAGUAGUAGUAGUAGUAGUACCACUACUAGCAGUAGUAGCAGUAGUAGUAGUGGUGGUGGUAGUAGUAGUACCAAUAGUAGUAGUAGUGGUAGUAGUUGUGGUAGUGGUAGUUGUAGUGGUAGUGGUGGUGGUGGUGGUUGUAGUAGUAGUAGUAGUGGUAGUUGUGGUGGUAGUUGUAGUGGGGGUGGUGGUGGAAGUAGUUGUAGUGGUGGUGGUAGUGGUGGUGUUUGUAGUAGUGGUAGUAGUAGUGGUGGUAGUUGUAGUAGUGGUAGUUGUAGUAGUGGUGGUGGUGGUGGUGGUGGUGGUGGUAGUUGUAGUGGUGGUAGUGGUGGUGUUUGUAGUAGUGGUGGUAGUAGUGGUGGUGUUAGUAGUGGUAGUUGUAGUAGUGGUAGUAGUAGUAGUAGUAGCGGUGGUAGUAGUGGUAGUUGUAGUUGUAGUAGUAGUGGUAGUGGUAGUUGUAGUAGUGGUAGUUGUAGUAGUAGUGGUGGUGGAGGUGGUAGUUGUGGUAGUAGUAGUAGUGGUAGUUGUGGUAGUAGUAGUAGUGGUAGUUGUGGUAGUUGUAGUAGUGGUGGUGGUAGUUGUAGUAGUGGUGGUGGUAGUUGUAGUAGUAGAGUGGUAGUUGUAGUAGUAGUGGUGGUGGUAGUAGUGGAAGUAGUAGUAGUGGUAGUUGUAGUGGUGGUGUUAAAAGUUGUAGUAGUGGUGGUAGUGGUAGUAGUGGUAGUUGUAGUAGUGGUGGUGUUAAAAGUUGUAGUAGUGGUGGUAGUGGUAGUAGUGGUAGUUGUUGUAGUGGUGGUGGUGGUGGUGGUAGUUGUAGUAGUAGUGGUAGUUGUAGUGGUUGUGGUAGUAGUAGUGGUGGUGGUUGUAGUGGUAGGUGUAGUGGUGGUGGUGGUGGUGGUAGUUGUAGUAGUAGUUCCACUAGUAGUAGUAGUAGUAGUAGUAGUAGUAGCAGUACCAAUAGUAGUAGUAGUAGUGGUGGUGGUAGUUGUAGUAGUGGUGGUGGUAGUUGUAGUAGUAGAGUGGUAGUUGUAGUAGUAGUGGUGGUGGUAGUAGUGGAAGUAGUAGUAGUGGUAGUUGUAGUGGUGGUGUUAAAAGUUGUAGUAGUGGUGGUAGUAGUGGUAGUUGUUGUAGUAGUGGUGGUGUUAAAAGUUGUGGUGGUAGUGGUAGUAGUGGUAGUUGUUGUAGUGGUGGUGGUGGUGGUGGUAGUUGUAGUAGUAGUGGUAGUUGUAGUGGUUGUGGUAGUAGUAGUGGUGGUGGUUGUAGUGGUAGGUGUAGUGGUGGUGGUGGUGGUGGUGGUGGUAGUUGUAGUAGUAGUUCCACUAGUAGUAGUAGUAGUAGUAGUAGUAGUAGUAGUAGUAGCAGUACCAAUAGUAGUAGUAGUGGUGGUGGUAAUGGUAGUUGUAGUAGUGGUGGUGGAGGUGGUAGUUGUAGUAGUGGUAGUUGUAGUAGUAGUGGGGGUGGUGGUAGUUGCAGUGGUGGUGGUAGUUGUGGUGGUGGUAGUAGUAGUAGUAGUGGUGGUGGUAGUUGUAGUGGUGGUGGAGGUGGUAGUUGUAGUAGUAGUGGUGGUGGUGGUAGUUGUGGAGGUGGUAGUUGUAGUAGUAGUGGUGGUGGUAGUUGUGGUAGUUGUAGUAGUUGUAGUAGUAGUAGUAGUAGUAGUAGCAGUACCAAUAGUAGUAGUAGUGGUGGUGGUAAUGGUAGUUGUAGUAGUAGUGGUGGUAGUAGUAGUGGUGGUGGAGGUGGUAGUUGUAGUAGUGGUAGUUGUAGUAGUAGUGGGGGUGGUGGUAGUUGCAGUGGUGGUGGUAGUUGUGGUGGUGGUAGUAGUAGUAGUAGUGGUGGUGGUAGUUGUAGUGGUGGUGGAGGUGGUAGUUGUAGUAGUAGUGGUGGUGGUGGUAGUUGUGGAGGUGGUAGUUGUAGUAGUAGUGGUGGUGGUAGUUGUGGUAGUUGUAGUAGUUGUAGUAGUAGUAGUAGUAGUAGUAGCAGUACCAAUAGUAGUAGUAGUGGUGGUGGUGGUAGUAGUUGUAGUAGUAGUAGUGGCGGUGGUGGUGUUAGUUGUAGUGGUGGUGGAGGUGGUGGUAGUUGUAGUGGUAGUAGUAGUAGCAGUAACAAUGGUAGUACCACUAGUAGUAGUAGUAGUAGUAGUAGUAGCAGUACCAAUAGUAGUAGUGGUGGUGGUGGUGGUAGUUGUAGUGGUGGUGGAGGUGGUGGUUGUAGUAGUAGUAGUGGUGGUGGAGGUGGUGGUUGUAGUAGUAGUGGUGGUGGUAGUUGUAGUAGUAGUGGUGGUGGUGGUAGUUGUAGUAGUAGUGGUGGUGGUGGUAGUUGUAGUGGUAGUAGUAGUAGCAGUAACAAUGGUAGUACCACUAGUAGUAGUAGUAGUAGUAGUAGUAGCAGUACCAAUAGUAGUAGUGGUGGUGGUGGUGGUAGUUGUAGUGGUAGUAGUAGUAGCAGUACCAAUAGUAGUACCACUAGUAGUAGUAGUAGUAGUAGUAGUAGUAGUAGUAGCAGUACCAAUAGUAGUAGUAGUGGUGGUGGUGGUAGUUGUAGUGGUGGUGGUAGUUGUAGUAGUACCACUAGUAGUAGUAGUAGUAGCAGUACCAAUAGUAGUGGUGGUGGUAGUAGUAGCAGUACCAAUAGUAGUGGUGGUAGUAGUCGUAGUGGUGGUGGUAGUACCAGUAGUAGUAGUAGUGGUGUUGGUAAUAGUAGUAGUAGUAGUAGUAGUAGUGGUGUUGGUAGUAAUAGUUGCAGUAGUAGUGUCAUUGACCAUGUGAUGGUUUACUAAUAGUUUUUCCCAGUGUCCACAGAAGUGUGGAGGUUGGACAUCUGUUUCCUCUUCUUUCCUCACCCUCUUCCUGCUUUCCUCUCAUCUCUCCAUCGCGGGGCCAGAAUGAGCUAAUAAUGAGCCAUGAUGAGUGUUCCUCAACAGACCGAAGGGAACUUAACAAGAAGAGAGGAAGAAGUGCAGGUCUUCAGGUUGUAAUGUGAAUAGCAGGACAGACUGCUCAUUAAAGCAGCUCACUGCAUCGUCACAAACACACAGGGGCUUUUAUGAGAACAGAACAGAGGAAGGCCACCCUAGUCAUAGACUGUUCUCUCUGCUACCGCACGGAAAGCGGUACCGGAGUGCCAAGACUA